GAGGGUAUAGCUCAGUGACAGAGUGUGUGCUUGGCAUGCACAAGGUCCCAGGUUCAAUCCCCAGUGUCUCCA
rnacentral:tRNA from 1 species